UUGAAGUUAUGAGAAUAAAAUCUUUGUUUCUGUCUCUACAGAGAAGGUUGAGUGAAGAACAUGUUUAUAAUUCUCAUGUUUCUCUACAGUAAGAAAUCCUGCUAUUCAAGCACAUCUUCAGUGUGUCGACAUGAGAGUUGUUCGGGUUUCCCAAUUGCAUCAAACACAUGGGCAUUUAUUCUAUGCUGAAGCACCAAACAAGGAUGUAUGCUAUGGCGACGCUGGUGGAGCAGUGGUGUACAACGACAUGAUUUAUGGUGUGACUUAUUUUAGUGGAAGAGACUCUGUAUGUCAGAAACCAACUGCAAUCUUUGAUGUGUGUGCAUACCUGUGGUGGAUAAAACAAACAAUUGGGCUUAAAUAAAACAUGAACUAUCAUGUAAUAAAAAUCUCAUCAAAUUUCGUCUCACAUAUAAUUUUAUAAUUGUAUCUUCAUCAGUUUGAUCCACAUCUUUGUAGAAUUAGAAUAAAUCAAUAGGUUUUUUUUCUCACCUGAUUUUGACCUCCAUAAUGGAGCUUUCUCUGCAUCAGAAAUGAAAAAUAAAUCAAUAAAUGCAUGAAAAAGAAA